CCACGUAAGGGGCAAGCGUUGUUCGGAAUUAUUGGGCGUAAAGGGCGUGUAGGCGGUUUUGUAAGCCUGGUGUAAAAGGUGUACGCUUAACGUACAUAGGUCGCUGGGGACUGCGAGACUAGAGUUUAGGAAGGGGAGCUGGAAUUCCAGGUGUAGGGGUGAAAUCUGUAGAUAUCUGGAAGAACACCAAUGGCGAAGGCAAGCUUCUGGCCAUAGACUGACGCUGAGGCGCGAAAGCGUGGGGAGCAAACAGGAUUAGAUACCCUGGUAGUCCACGCGGUAAACGAUGUGCACUAGGUGUUGGUGCGAAUGCAUCAGUGCCGAAGUUAACGCGAUAAGUGCACCGCCUGGGGAGUAUGCUCGCAAGGGUGAA
rnacentral:rRNA from 1 species